rnacentral:lncRNA from 1 species
CGGCGGCCAAGGGCUACGACAGCUGGUAUCAGAGACUGGAGUUCCUCGGCGGCGCUCGCUGUGUCCACGCUAAUCCGUCGGUCAGACCACAAUCGGAGUAGGCUUGCUGAGAUCCUGGGGUUUGCCACGCAGAACCGGCGAUUCCAAUUGAUUUCCUGUUAGUCCUACUCCACGUCAGUUCGAUUUGCGGGCGGUCACCACGGCGCCUCCAAAACCCUCGAUUCAGACCCG